rnacentral:rRNA from 1 species
GACGAACGCUGGCGGCGUGCUUAACACAUGCAAGUCGAACGGUAAGGCCCUUCGGGGUACACGAGUGGCGAACGGGUGAGUAACACGUGGGUGAUCUGCCCUGCACUUCGGGAUAAGCCUGGGAAACUGGGUCUAAUACCGGAUAGGACCACUGCCUGCAUGGGUGGUGGUGGAAAGCUUUUGCGGUGUGGGAUGGGCCCGCGGCCGAUCAGCUUGUUGGUGGGGUGAUGGCCUACCAAGGCGACGACGGGUAGGCGGCCUGGGAGGGUGACCGGCCACACUGGGACUGAGAUACGGCCCAGACUCCUACGGGAGGCAGCAGUGGGGAAUAUUGCACAAUGGGCGCAAGCCUGAUGCAGCGACGCCGCGUGAGGGAUGACGGCCUUCGGGUUGUAAACCUCUUUCAGCACCGACGAAGCGCAAGUGACGGUAGGUGCAGAAGAAGGACCGGCCUACUACGUGCCAGCCGCCGCCGUAA